GGGCUGUCAAAACAAAAUACCAUAGACUGGGUGGCUUAAAUAAAAUAAUUCAUUUUCUCACAGUUCUGGAGGCCAGGAAGUCUAAGAUUAUUGUGCCAGCCAAUUUGGUUUCCCGUGGGGUCUCUCUUCCUGACUUGCAGAUGGCCGCCUUCUCACCAUGUCCUCACAUAGCAGAGACAGAGAGAGACAGAGAGUGGCCUCCCUGGUGUCUCUUUUUGUUGUUAUUGUAUUCAUUCACCUGUUUUGUAUUUUAGGUUUCACAUAUAAGUGAUAACAUACAGUAUUUGACUUUCUCUAUCUAACUUAUUUCACUUAGCAUAAUACCCUCCAGGUCCAUCCAUGAUGUUGCAAAUGGCAAAAGUUCAUUCUUUUUUAUGGCUUAGUAAUAUUCCAUUGUAUAUACGCCUGGUGUCUCUUAUAAGGACACUCAUUUUACCAGAUUAGGGCUUCCCUCUUAUGACUUCAUUUAACCUUAAUUAGUUCCUUACUCCAAAUACCAGCGCACUGGGGGUUAGGCUUCAACAUACGAAUUUUGGGGUUACAUAACUCUGUCCAUAGCAGGAGGCUUUGAAAUUUAGUUUCCCUGAGCUGCCUGGGAUCCUAAGUGGUCUAAGUAGACCUAGAGAUGGCUGUGGAGCUGGAUGGAGAACUUGCUAGAAGGGACCACAGUACCAGAGUGAGGUACCAGAUCUGCCCUCUGCCUAAAAUUCAGCAUAUGCCAUGGUGAAUUGCAAAUGUUUAUUGAAAGGAUCAGUUGACUGUGCCUUCUUUUUGUAGGUGUCACAUGAGUGUCCCAAGUUCUCCAGCCUUCAGGAGUCACCCUUUCCUUGAACAUCCACUGAAUAUCAGCUCCCAGACCUGCAGGAAAUCCAUUCAAGAGCCCAGUACAUGCUGGAUUGCUGUGAGCAUUUAAUGAGAUAAACCAUGAAAAGCACAUGUCCAGCACCUACUAAGUGCUCUGUAAAAAGGGUCCCCUCAUGGGAAGAGCUGGGGGGCACUGGACCACCUGCACAAGAAUCCACUGAAGGACUCGAUAAACAUGCAGACACCCCAGUACCCCUGAGAGUGUGGGCCAGGAAUCUACUUGAUUAACCAGCAGCAGUGUGACCAGUUGUCUACUUGUCUACGUUCCUUCCAAGACAUGGCCAGUAGAUGGCGGUGCAGUGUGCACUUUCAAUGCAGCUUCUGCAUUUCUGGAAAGAUCUCCCUGUGAAACUUCCUGUGAAUUCAAGUUAACAUCCACCAGGAGAGCUUGGCUGCUUAAGCUGCUCUCCCCUCCUGUCCCU